CAAGCUGCUCCCCAUCCAACUCAGGGUUCUGUUGGUCCAGACUUCUCUCGGGGAGGUAGUGUGAUGGGUCAAACUCAAAUCAUGCCAGGGAGUACUGCUCCCCGUCCCCCUCAAACCAGGCCUGCUGGUACUGCUCCCAGGCCGCCUCAAUCCAUGCCUGCUAGUACUUCUCCCCACCCACCUCAAUCCAUGCCUGAAAGUACUGCUGGUCUGAAUGUGCCAAACUCAAACAUAUCCAGUGAUUGGCUUAGUGGAGGGGCUGGUGGAGCUUCAACUGGGUCAAGAGCAAUCAGUCCAACACCUCUGAUGCCAACAAAUCCUCAAACUCCA
rnacentral:lncRNA from 1 species